rnacentral:tRNA from 1 species
GCCUUCGGGGUGUAAUGGUCAGCACACGCAGCGUGUAUUCGAGAGGUCCGAGGUUCGAGUCCCGGCGAAGACA